UUAUUAUGAGAGUUUGAUCCUGGCUCAGGACGAACGCUGGCGGCGUGCCUAAUACAUGCAAGUCGAACGCUUCUUUCCUCCCGAGUGCUUGCACUCAAUUGGAAAGAGGAGUGGCGGACGGGUGAGUAACACGUGGGUAACCUACCCAUCAGAGGGGGAUAACACUUGGAAACAGGUGCUAAUACCGCAUAACAGUUUAUGCCGCAUGGCAUAAGAGUGAAAGGCGCUUUCGGGUGUCGCUGAUGGAUGGACCCGCGGUGCAUUAGCUAGUUGGUGAGGUAACGGCUCACCAAGGCCACGAUGCAUAGCCGACCUGAGAGGGUGAUCGGCCACACUGGGACUGAGACACGGCCCAGACUCCUACGGGAGGCAGCAGUAGGGAAUCUUCGGCAAUGGACGAAAGUCUGACCGAGCAACGCCGCGUGAGUGAAGAAGGUUUUCGGAUCGUAAAACUCUGUUGUUAGAGAAGAACAAGG
rnacentral:rRNA from 1 species